rnacentral:rRNA from 1 species
UAUUUAUUAGAUAAAAAACCAACGCCCUUCGGGGCUCCUUGGUGAAUCAUAAUAACUUAACGAAUCGCAUGGCCUUGCGCCGGCGAUGGUUCAUUCAAAUUUCUGCCCUAUCAACUUUCGAUGGUAGGAUAGUGGCCUACCAUGGUGGCAACGGGUAACGGGGAAUUAGGGUUCGAUUCCGGAGAGGGAGCCUGAGAAACGGCUACCACAUCCAAGGAAGGCAGCAGGCGCGCAAAUUACCCAAUCCCGAUACGGGGAGGUAGUGUCAAUAAAUACUGAUACGGGGCUCUUUUGGGUCUCGUAAUUGGAAUGAGAACAAUUUAAAUCCCUUAACGAGGAACAAUUGGAGGGCAAGUCUGGUGCCAGCAGCCGCGGUAAUUCCAGCUCCAAUAGCGUAUAUUAAAGUUGUUGCAGUUAAAAAGCUCGUAGUUGAACCUUGGGUCUGGCUGGCCGGUCCGCCUCACCGCGAGUACUGGUCCGGCUGGACCUUUCCUUCUGGGGAACCUCAUGGCCUUCACUGGCUGUGGGGGGAACCAGGACUUUUACUGUGAAAAAAUUAGAGUGUUCAAAGCAGGC